CCUACGGGAGGCAGCAGUGGGGAAUUUUGGACAAUGGACGCAAGUCUGAUCCAGCCAUGCCGCGUGUGGGAAGAAGGCCUUCGGGUUGUAAACCACUUUUGUCAGGGAAGAAACGGUCUAGGUUAAUACCUUGGGCUAAUGACGGUACCUGAAGAAUAAGCACCGGCUAACUACGUGCCAGCAGCCGCGGUAAUACGUAGGGUGCAAGCGUUAAUCGGAAUUACUGGGCGUAAAGCGUGCGCAGGCGGUUAUGCAAGACAGAUGUGAAAUCCCCGGGCUCAACCUGGGAACUGCAUUUGUGACUGCAUGGCUAGAGUACGGUAGAGGGGGAUGGAAUUCCGCGUGUAGCAGUGAAAUGCGUAGAUAUGCGGAGGAACACCGAUGGCGAAGGCAAUCCCCUGGACCUGUACUGACGCUCAUGCACGAAAGCGUGGGGAGCAAACAGGAUUAGAUACCCUGGUAGUCCACGCCCUAAACGAUGUCAACUGGUUGUUGGGAGGGUUUCUUCUCAGUAACGUAGCUAACGCGUGAAGUUGACCGCCUGGGGAGUACGGCCGCAAGGUUGAAACUCAAAGUAGUAGUGACGNGNGAGAGCGACGACGACGACGACGGAGGGAGGAGG
rnacentral:rRNA from 1 species